rnacentral:rRNA from 1 species
AGGGAAUCUUCCACAAUGGACGCAAGUCUGAUGGAGCAACGCCGCGUGAGUGAAGAAGGUUUUCGGAUCGUAAAGCUCUGUUGUUGGUGAAGAAGGAUAGAGGCAGUAACUGGUCUUUAUUUGACGGUAAUCAACCAGAAAGUCACGGCUAACUACGUGCCAGCAGCCGCGGUAAUACGUAGGUGGCAAGCGUUGUCCGGAUUUAUUGGGCGUAAAGCGAGCGCAGGCGGAAUGAUAAGUCUGAUGUGAAAGCCCACGGCUCAACCGUGGAACUGCAUCGGAAACUGUCAUUCUUGAGUGCAGAAGAGGAGAGUGGAACUCCAUGUGUAGCGGUGGAAUGCGUAGAUAUAUGGAAGAACACCAGUGGCGAAGGCGGCUCUCUGGUCUGCAACUGACGCUGAGGCUCGAAAGCAUGGGUAGCGAACAGGAUUAGAUACCCUGGUAGUCCAUGCCGUAAACGAUGAGCGCUAGGUGUUGGGGG